GAUGAACGCUGGCGGCGUGCUUAACACAUGCAAGUCGAACGGAAAGGCCCAAGCUUGCUUGGGUACUCGAGUGGCGAACGGGUGAGUAACACGUGGGUGAUAUGCCCUGCACUUCGGGAUAAGCCUGGGAAACUGGGUCUAAUACCGGAUAGGACCACAUUUUGGAUGGUGUGGUGGAAAGUUUUUCGGUGUGGGAUGAGCUCGCGGCCUAUCAGCUUGUUGGUGGGGUAAUGGCCUACCAAGGCGUCGACGGGUAGCCGGCCUGAGAGGGUGUACGGCCACAUUGGGACUGAGAUACGGCCCAGACUCCUACGGGAGGCAGCAGUGGGGAAUAUUGCACAAUGGGCGCAAGCCUGAUGCAGCGACGCCGCGUGGGGGAUGACGGCCUUCGGGUUGUAAACUCCUUUCGCUAGGGACGAAGCGUUAUGUGACGGUACCUGGAGAAGAAGCACCGGCUAACUACGUG
rnacentral:rRNA from 1 species